GCACAGUAUAUGUUAACAAUAAAUAAUAGGUUAUUAUAAUUGCUUUUCUUUAUGUAAAAACAAAUAUAAUACAAAAUAACAUGAAAUAUAAUACAAAGAAUGUUUGUCUUUUUAAAAUGUUGCACAGAUAUUUCUGUUCAUUCUUUUAUACAUAGAAACAUUUGUACAAAGGGAUGGCUAUGGAAGGGCACUGUCCUGCUUGUAGAUAUGGUCACACAGUUGUUUUACAUAUGUACAUGCCAUACAGAACACGUAACAGCAGCUAAGGGCGGGCAGGGGAUGGACGGAGGUGUUAUCACACACACGCACACAGACACAUACAAACAACACACACAUACACAUCCACUGUUCAGAUCAGAGAGAAUCCUUAUCUACUGUAGCGAUAAAAUACACUCAGACACUCGCUUUAUCUAGAGAGGUGUGAUAUAUCCCCACCAGUGUUAGAAGAUAGCAUUGGAAGAGCUGUGGGAUAGUGUUGUUAAUUUUCAUCUUCUACCUUACAGAGCAGAAUACGCUCUGAAGAAGCCAGCAUGGUAUUCUCUCUCUCUACCUCUCUCUCUCUCCAUCUUUUUCAUUAUCUCUACAGCUCUCUCUCUUUUUCUCACUCCCUCUACAUCUCUCUCUCUCUACUUCUACCUCUCUCUCUCCCUCUCCUUUCUCUCUAUCCUGUUUCAGUUUGAAUGAAUAACACACAUCCUGAGAUUUCACAUUAGGACUAGGAACUAGGAAGCUUGGAGUUAUGCAUCAUCACCUACUGUAUGAUAAGCAGACAGGUGGUAGUUAGUUACAGUUCUGUAUGAUAAGCAGACAGGUGGUAGUUAGAUACAGUUCUGUAUGAUAAGCAGACAGGUGGUAGUUAGUUACAGUUCUGUAUGAUAAGCAGACAGGUGGUAGUUAGAUACAGUUCUGUAUGAUAAGCAGACAGGUGGUAGUUAGUUACAGUUCUCUAUGAUAAGCUGACAGGUGGUAGUUAGUUACAGUUCUCUAUGAUAAGCAGAAGGGUGGUAGUUAGUUACAGUUCUCUAUGAUAAGCAGAAGGGUGGUAGUUAGUUACAGAUACAGUUGAAGUCAGAAGUUUACAUACACUUAGGUUGGAGUCAUUAAAACUCGUUUUUCAACCACCCCACAAAUUUCUUGUUAACAAACUAUAGUUUUUGGCAAGUCGGUUAGGACAUCUACUUUGUGCAUGACACAAAUAAUUUUGUUUACAGACAGAUUAUUUCACUUAUAAUUCACUGUAUCACAAUUCAGAAGUCAGAAGUUUACAUACACUAAGUUGACUGUGUCUAUUAACAGCUUGGAAAAUUCCAGAAAGAAGCUUCUGAUAGGCUAAUUGACAUAAUUUGAGUCAAUUGGAGGUGUACCUGUGGAUGUAUUUCAAGGCCUACCUUCAAACUCAGUGCCUUUGCUUGACAUAAUGGGGAAAUCAAAAUAAAUAAGCCAAGACCUCAGAAAAAAAUGUAGACCUCCACAAGUCUGGUUCAUCCUUGGGAGCAAAUUCCAAAUGCCUGAAGGUACCACGUUCAUCUGUAUAAACAAUAGUACACAAGUAUAACACCAUGGGACCACGCAGCUGUCAUACCGCUCAGGAAGGAGACGCGUUCUGCCUCCUAGAGAUGAGUGUACUUUGGUGCGAAAAGUGCAAAUCAAUCCCAGAACAACCGCAAAGGACCUUGUGAAGAUGCUGGAUGAAACAGGUUCCACAAGUAUCUAUAUCCACAGUAAAACGAGUCCGCUCAGAGAGGAAAAAGCCACUGCUCCAAAACUGCCAUAAAAAAGCCAGACUACGGUUUCCAACUGCACAUGGGGACAAAGAUCGUAGUUUUUGGAGAAACAUCCUCUGGUCUGAUGAUACAAAAAUAGAACUGUUUGGCCAUAUUGACCAUCGUUAGGUUUGGAGGGAAAGGGGGAGGCUUGCAAGCCGAAGAACACCAUCCCAAUCAUGUUGUGGGGGUGCUUUGCUGCAGGAGGGACUGGUGCACUUCACAAAAUAGAUGGCA
ensembl:lncRNA